UACGUAGGGGGCAAGCGUUGUCCGGAAUCAUUGGGCGUAAAGAGCGUGUAGGCGGUCCGGUCAGUCGGUUGUGAAAGUCAAGGGCUCAACCCUUGAAUGCCGGCCGAUACUGCCGGGCUAGAGUCCGGAAGAGGUGAGUGGAAUUCCUGGUGUAGCGGUGAAAUGCGCAGAUAUCAGGAGGAACACCGAUGGCGAAGGCAGGUCUCUGGGCCACUACUGACGCUGAGAAGCGAAAGCAUGGGGAGCGAACAGG
rnacentral:rRNA from 1 species